rnacentral:rRNA from 1 species
GGGAUACCCCCUCGAAAGGGGGGCUAAUACCGGAUACGUUCCUCGGGUUGCGAAAUCUGGGGAGGAAAGGUGGCGCAAGCUGCCGCUCGUGGAGGGGCUCGCGGCCUAUCAGCUUGUUGGCGGGGUAACGGCCCACCAAGGCGAUGACGGGUAGCUGGUCUGAGAGGACGGCCAGCCACACGGGGACUGAGACACGGCCCCGACUCCUACGGGAGGCAGCAGUGGGGAAUUUUCCGCAAUGGGCGAAAGCCUGACGGAGUGACGCCGCGUGGGGGAUGAAGGCCUUCGGGUCGUAAACCCCUGUCAGAGGGAAAGAUGUGUUCGAGCGCGAUAACKUCGUCAUCUGAACGGUAMCUUCAGAGGAAGCCCCGGCAACUCUGUGCCAGCAGCCGCGGUAAGACCAGAGGGGCAAGCGUUGCUCGGGAAWUACUGGGCGUAAAAGGGCGCGUAGGCGGGAUGGCAAGUCGGUCGUGAAAGCCUCCGGGCCCAACCGGGAGAACGUCAAUCGAUACUGCCGUCCUUGAGGGUUGCAGAGGAGACUGGAAUUCCCGGUGUAGCGGUGAAAUGUGUAGAGAUCGGGAGGAACACCGGUGGCGAAGGCGGGUCUCUGGGCAACUCCUGACGCUGAGGCGCGAAAGCGUGGGGAGCAAACGGGAUUAGAUACCCCGGUAGUCCACGCGGUAAACGAUGGGCACUAGGGGUGUGUGGGGGGGUUCCAGUCCCCUUCCCGUGCCGCAGCUAACGCAUUUAAGUGCCCCGCCUGGGGGAGUACGGCCGCAAGWUGAACUCAAAGGAAKUGACCGGGGGACCGCACAAGCGGUGGAGCAUGUGUCAUCGAUGMKAGCGAAGAACUUACCUGGKCKUGACAUGCCKGMAGUGAAACCCGAAAGGGGGACGACCUGUUAAGUCAGGAGCCGGCACAGGUGGUGCAUGGCUGUCGUCAGCUCGUGCCGUGAGGUGUUGGGUUAAGUCCCGCAACGAGCGCAACCCUCACCCCAUGUUGCCAUCAGGUUAUGCUGGGCACUCUUGGGGAACCGCCGGCGAAGAGCUGGAGGAAGGGGGGGAUGACGUCAAGUCCGUAUGCCCCUUAUGUCCAGGGCUACACACAUGCUACAAUGGCCGGUACAGAGGGUCGCAAACCCGCAAGGGGG